UCAAAGCGGGCUGUCCAUGUC
rnacentral:siRNA from 1 species